AGCUAUUAAUGGCUCGGUGAU
rnacentral:miRNA from 1 species